ACAGAAGAAGCUAGGGGCGAUUUCCCCACUCUCAAAACCUUAAACAUCACUAAACUCUCAAAUUGAAGGCUCAAUCCAAGCUGAAAUCGAAAUUAAAGCAUAGAUUAUUGAUCCUCAUCGCAAGAGGGUUACAAGGAAAGGACGCAGGAGCGUCAAGCGGACAAGCGGUUGGCGAAUCACGUUUGAAGGGCCUACUUUGAAGGUGAUGUUGAAAAGUAACCGGAAGAUGAUCGAGCUAGAUUUUGAAGAACCGAACACUACUUACAAGCUUCCGCAAUGUUUUAAAUCUUUAAUAGACUAUGUUUAUGGGUUGUAAACAUAGUUAAACAUCUUUUGAAAUGUUUUAACUUAGUCGUUAGUUGACUAAGGAUUAUGCUACUUAUGAACUUCUCUUAUGAAAUCUAUGUUAAUUAGCA